CCUACGGGCGGCAGCAGUGAGGAAUAUUGGUCAAUGGACGGAAGUCUGAACCAGCCAUGCCGCGUGCAGGAAGACGGCUCUAUGAGUUGUAAACUGCGUUUGUACAAGGGGAAACCUGAAUACGUGUAUGCAGCUGAAAGGACGGUACGAAUAAGGAUCGGCUAACUCCGUGCCAGCAGCCGCGGUAAUACGGAGGAUACAAGCGUUAUCCGGAUUUAGUGGGGUGAAAGGGUGCGUAGGCGGAUUGAUAAGUUAGAGGUGAAAUGUCCGAGCUUAACUCGGGAACUGCCUCUAAUACUGUUGAUCUAGAGUGUAGGUGCGGUAGGCGGAAUGUAUGGUGUAGCGGUGAACUGCUUAGAGAUCAUAC
rnacentral:rRNA from 1 species